UCGGGAAUUUUGGGCAAUGGGCGAAAGCCUGAUCCAGCCAUGCCGCGUGCAGGAUGACGGUCCUAUGGAUUGUAAACUGCUUUUGUACAGGAAGAAACAGUUCUACGUGUAGAACCUUGACGGUACUGUAAGAAUAAGGAUCGGCUAACUCCGUGCCAGCAGCCGCGGUAAUACGGAGGAUCCAAGCGUUAUCCGGAAUCAUUGGGUUUAAAGGGUCCGUAGGCGGUUAGAUAAGUCAGUGGUGAAAGCCCAUCGCUCAACGGUGGAACGGCCAUUGAUACUGUCUGACUUGAAUUAUUAGGAAGUAACUAGAAUAUGUAGUGUAGCGGUGAAAUGCUUAGAGAUUACAUGGAAUACCGAAUUGCGAAGGCAGGUUACUACUAAUGGAUUGACGCUGAUGGACGAAAGCGUGGGUAGCGAACAGGAUUAGAUACCCGGGUAGUCCCUGAGCGGGCUGGCAAGGCGCAU
rnacentral:rRNA from 1 species